ACAGGGUCUCAAUACAAUGUCCAGGCUGGUCUCAAACUCCUGGCCUCAAGCAGUCCUCCUGCCUCGGCCUCCCAAAGUCCUGGGAUUACAGGUAUGAGACACUGUGCUGGGCCCCUGUCAAUUUUGGAAGGAUCCAGUUGUGUUUCUUCAUUCAUUUAACACAUAUUUGUAGAAAGCAAAUCCGUGCCAGGCAUAGAUGCUUGAGAUUCAUUAGCCAACGAAACAGAAAACAACCUGUGACCUCAUGGAGCCUCCAUCCCUAGCGGGACGGGUACAGCAGGGGCUUCACCCAGAGAGGCUUCCUGUGAAAACGCCCACUGGGUCCUGGGGAACUGGGAAUCCCCGGCCGCUUCUGCACAGGGCUCCUGGGUGGUUUCCUGUUUCGGCUCCACAGCCGGGGGAAGUUUCUGCUGUUUGCUCCUCUGCACUCUAAGCGGAGAUGUGCACACUCGCGAGCAGGGAUUUUUCUGGUUCAGGAAAGUCCUGCGUCCUUGGGCGCACUUUCACAAGUGUGAGAAAGCCAGUUCAAAUGUGACUUCCCGUGAGAAACCCUGCCUGGCCUCCCGCCCUCCCCGGCACUCUCAGCAUGAAUCAUGCUGCGUUGUCACUAUUGUCUUGCUCAUCUGUGCCUGUCGCAUUCCCUGAGUUCCUCCUGGCGGGGUCUCGGCCUUGUUCAUCUUUGGACCUGGUGGCCAGCACAGAGAAUGUGCUCAAUGAAUGUUUGCUGGAUUGAAUGACACACCCUCAGGUCCAAGUGGGCCAUGCCCCUCUGCCUGCAGCCUGGUGGCCGUCAGGGUCAGGGCUCCCAUGCUUUCUGAUACCCGGGAGGAUGGGUCUCUGACCAUGGGAUUUUGAAAUAGCAAUGAGCCUGAAUAACAUUUUGAGAUACUGGCAACAACGAAAGUGUGGAAUGAAACUUCCCGUUAUUUCUGCUGGCUAACACUAAGUGGUUGCCACCUAUGUUCAUAAUACAAGGAACUGCUCAGUUUCAACCAGAGACAAGGAGGCUCUGUCCAAGCUCCUGUCCUGGCUCGCUCAGCCCAGCCUUCAGGUUCUCAGCCCAACACGAGGGUCUCCUUGGGUAGUCAGCUCAAUCAUUUCAAGCUAUUAAUCAACGGACUUCUCCUGAAUGCAUCCAGACCUCUCCUCAAGGCUCUUGCUCCGUCGCCCAGGCUGAAGUGCAGUGGAGCGAUCACGAUCACGGUUCGCUGCAGCUUCAAACUCCUGAGCUCAAACGAUCCUCCCCGCUCAGCCUCCCAAGUAGCUGGGACUACUGGCACAUGCCACCACCCCUGGCUGAAAAUCACUCAUUUUUAAUGAGAAAAUGAAGCGGGAAAGGAAGCUACUCACAACAGCAACAAGAUCCGUACUAUAACCAAGAAUGAAACCAGAAUAUAGAGUUUUUGUGAUUAGAACGGGCAAAUAAAAGAACAAAGCUGAGUGGAGAGUCCAGAAUUCUCAGCCACUCCACUCCUAAGAAUCUGCCGUUUUUAAAAAGUGGACAUGUGCACAAAGGUAUACGUACAAAGAGGCUCAGAAAUAACAUUUGCAAGGGCAAAAACAUUGAGGCCAAUGCGAGUUUUUAUCAACAGGAGAAUGGUUAAAUGAAUAAUGUUAUAUCACAUUUGCAGUGUUUUAUUUAGAAAGGAAGCAUUGCUGUGAGUUCUGACAUGGAAUGAUCUCGGUGGUAUAUUGAAAAGCAAGUUCUAAUAUAAUUCCUCAAGCAUAAAAAAAACUAUAUGUUGAUAUAUUUAUGGAUAGAGGUAAUUGCAUAGAAAAAUGCCUGGAAAGAUACAUGUCAAACCAUUAUUGUGGUUAGUUCUGGGGGCCAUUUCCUUUAGAAAUUUUCUAUGAGAAUGGCCGGGUGCGG
rnacentral:lncRNA from 1 species